CCUACGGGGGAACAGCAGUGGGGGAAAUUGCACAAUGGGGGAAACCAUGAUGCAGCGACGCCGCGUGGGUGAAGAAGUAUUUCGGUAUGUAAAGCCCUAUCAGCAGGGAAGAAAGAAGACGGUACCUGACUAAGAAGCACCGGCUAACUACGUGCCAGCAGCCGCGGUAAUACGUAGGGGGCGAGCGUUAUCCGGAUUCACUGGGUGUAAAGGGAGCGUAGACGGCCGUGCAAGCCAGGAGUGAAAGCCCGGGGCCCAACCCCGGGACUGCUCUUGGAACUGUGCGGCUGGAGUGCGGGAGGGGCAGGCGGAAUGCCUGGUGUAGCGGUGAAAUGCGUAGAUAUCAGGAGGAACACCGGCGGCGAAGGCGGCCUGCUGGACCGCGACUGACGUUGAGGCUCGAAAGCGUGGGGAGCGAACAGGAUUAGAUACCCGAGUAGUC
rnacentral:rRNA from 1 species